CAGGUUGCCGGCAGGCAGCUGCAACCAAAUCUUCACCUACGGCCUCUGCCAGUGACCUGUUGAUGCCGCCUCAAACUGCAGGUUGCUGGCAGACAGCUUCAACCAAACCUCCACCUACGUCCUACGACCACAGUUGCACCACCACCAGCCUCCACCUAAAAUCCUCUGCCAGCAACCUGCGGUUUUUGUCUCCAACUGCAGUCUGCUUGCAGACAACUGCAACUUAAUUCCACCUUAACAGCCUCUGCCACAAACCUGCAGUUACACCCUCCACUUGCAGAUUGUGGUUGAGGGGCUACAACCAAACCUCCACCGCCAGCUGUACCUAAACAUCCACAGAGACUGACCAGAGCGACUAAAGUAACUUUCAUCAUGGAAAAUAGGUGUUGGACUGUGUUCCCGCUGUGCAGCCCUCCUCAGCUGGUGACCAUUCAGGGUCUUUGGAUUUGGUCCGGAAGCCUAGAGCCACCAUCCCACCUGCUGACCUGCCCCGAGUCUCCUGUGUGGCCCCCAGCCCUCCACUGCUCCACUGCUCCACUGGCCUCUGAAGAUAUUUAACCUCCCAGUGGAAGAAUACCAGCAGCUGUACCACGAGGUUGUUGAUGAAUUGACUACAAUUUAACAAGCUCCACCACCUGCAACCUACCCUCCACCUAAAGAACCUCUGCCACAGUCCUGCUGUUGCUGCCUCCACCAGCAAGUUGUGGCAGCUGGAUCUUUCAGCCUCCUCUAGCAAUCUGCAGUUGCUGCCUCCAACUGCAUGUUGCUGGCAGCUGCUGCCAAACCUCCACCUUACAUAGGCUCAACCCCUAAACUGCUGUUACCACCUCCACCAGCAGAUAUUGGCAGACAGCUGGAAGCAAACCUUCACCUUGAUCCUCUGCCAGUGACCUGCAGUUGUUGCCUCCAACUGAAGGUUGCUGGCAGACAGCUUCAACCAAACCUCCACCUACGUCCUACGACCACAGUUGCACCACCUGCAGCCUCUGCCAGCCUCCACCUAAAAUCCUCUGCCAGCAACCUGCGGUUUUUGCCUCCAACUGCAGUCUGCUUGCAGACAACUGCAACUUAAUUCCACCUUAACAGCCUCUGCCACAAACCUGCAGUUACACCCUCCACUUGCAGAUUGUGGUUGAGGGGCUACAACCAAACCUCCACCGCCAGCUGUACCUAAACAUCCACAGAGACUGACCAGAGCGACUAAAGUAACUUUCAUCAUGGAAAAUAGGUGUUGGACUGUGUUCCCGCUGUG
ensembl:lncRNA